rnacentral:rRNA from 1 species
CCUACGGGGGGCAGCAGUGGGGAAUAUUGGACAAUGGGGGCAACCCUGAUCCAGCCAUGCCGCGUGUGUGAAGAAGGCCCUCGGGUUGUAAAGCACUUUCAGUGAGGAAGAACGCCUGGUGGUUAAUACCCAUCAGGAAAGACAUCACUCACAGAAGAAGCACCGGCUAACUCCGUGCCAGCAGCCGCGGUAAUACGGAGGGUGCGAGCGUUAAUCGGAAUUACUGGGCGUAAAGCGCGCGUAGGUGGCUUGAUAAGCCGGUUGUGAAAGCCCCGGGCUCAACCUGGGAACGGCAUCCGGAACUGUCAAGCUAGAGUGCAGGAGAGGAAGGUAGAAUUCCCGGUGUAGCGGUGAAAUGCGUAGAGAUCGGGAGGAAUACCAGUGGCGAAGGCGGUCUUCUGGACUGACACUGACACUGAGGUGCGAAAGCGUGGGUAGCAAACAGGAUUAGAUACCCCUGUAGUC